GGGACACGUGAAACCCUGUGGGAAGCAGGAGGGACCACCCUCCAAGGCUAAAUACUACCUAGUGACCGAUAGCGUAUAGUACCGUGAGGGAAAGGUGAAAAGAACCCCGGGAGGGGAGUGAAAUAGAACCUGAAACCCUGCACUUACAAGCUGUGGAAGCACAUUUCUUGUGUGACCGCGUACUUUUUGUAGAACGGGCCAACGAGUUACGUUAAGUAGCAAGGUUAAGCACUUAAGGUGCGGAGCCGUAGCGAAAGCGAGUUUUAACUGAGCGUUCAGUUACUUGACGUAGACCCGAAACCGGGCGACCUACCCAUGAGCAGGAUGAAGCGAAAGUAAAAUUUCGUGGAGGUCCGAACCCACGAGCGUUGAAAAGCUCGGGGAUGACUUGUGGGUAGCGGUGAAAUUCCAAUCGAGCCCGGAGAUAGCUGGUUCUCCCCGAAAUAGCUUUAGGGCUAGCCUCAAGGUGAGAGAUACGGAGGUAGAGCACUGAAUGUCCUAGGGGGUAUUGCACCUACCGAAGACUAUCAAACUCCGAAUGCCGUCAUCUUAUACUUGGGAGUCAGACUGUGGGUGAUAAGAUUCAUAGUCGAAAGGGCAACAGCCCAGAUCGUCAGCUAAGGUCCCUAAAUGUAAGUUAAGUGGUAAAGGAUGUGGGAUUGCACAGACAACCAGGAUGUUGGCUUAGAAGCAGCCACUCAUUCAAAGAGUGCGUAAUAGCUCACUGGUCGAGUGAUCCUGCGCCGAAGAUUUCCGGGGCUAAAACUUACUACCGAAGCUACGGCAUCAGUAAUGAUGGGUAGGGGAGCUUCCCAUACGGGUUGAAGCAUGACCGUAAGGACAUGUGGACAGUAUGGGAGUGAGAAUGUUGGCAUGAGUAGCGAGAUGUGGGUGAGAAUCCCACAGGCCGUAAACCCAAGGUUUCCAGGGGAAGGUUCGUCCGCCCUGGGUUAGUCGGGACCUAAGCUGAGGCCGAAAGGCGUAGGUGAUGGACAACAGGUUGAUAUUCCUGUACUACCGAUAACCGUUUGAGAGAAGGGAUGACACAGUAGGAUAAGCUAAGCACACUGUUGGUUAUGUGUGCCCAAGCAUUGAGGCAGUCAAAGUAGGCAAAUCCGCUUUGAUAAUGCUGGGAUGUGAUGGGGAGCGAAAUUUAGUAGCGAAGUAGCUGAUUUCACACUGUCAAGAAAAGUCUCUAUCGAGGUUAAAGGUACCCGUACCGCAAACCGACACAGGUGGGUGAGGAGAGUAUCCUAAGGCCAGCGAGAGAACUGUUGUUAAGGAACUCGGCAAAAUGACCCCGUAACUUAGGGAUAAGGGGUGCCACCAUCAGGUGGCCGCAGAGAAUAGGCCCAAGCGACUGUUUACCAAAAACAUAGGUUUCUGCUAAGUCGCAAGACGAUGUAUAGGAGCUGACGCCUGCCCGGUGCUGGAAGGUUAAGGGGAUCUGUUAGAGCAAUCGAAGCAGUGAACUUAAGCCCCAGUAAACGGCGGCCGUAACUAUAACGGUCCUAAGGUAGCGAAAUUCCUUGUCGGGUAAGUUCCGACCCGCACGAAAGGCGUAACGAUUUGGGCACUGUCUCAACAACAGACUCGGUGAAAUUGUAAUUCCGGUGAAGAUGCCGGAUACCUGCGACAGGACGGAAAGACCCCAUGGAGCUUUACUGUAGCUUGACAUUGGGUCUUGGUACUACAUGUACA
rnacentral:rRNA from 1 species